UAUUGGACAAUGGGUGAGAGCCUGAUCCAGCCAUCCCGCGUGAAGGAUGACGGCCCUAUGGGUUGUAAACUUCUUUUGUACAGGGAUAAACCUACCCUCGUGAGGGUAGCUGAAGGUACUGUACGAAUAAGCACCGGCUAACUCCGUGCCAGCAGCCGCGGUAAUACGGAGGGUGCAAGCGUUAUCCGGAUUUAUUGGGUUUAAAGGGUCCGUAGGCGGAUCUGUAAGUCAGUGGUGAAAUCUCGCAGCUUAACUGCGAAACUGCCAUUGAUACUGCAGGUCUUGAGUAAAUUUGAAGUAGCUGGAAUAAGUAGUGUAGCGGUGAAAUGCAUAGAUAUUACUUAGAACACCAAUUGCGAAGGCAGGUCACUAAGAUUAACUGACGCAGAGGACGAAA
rnacentral:rRNA from 1 species